rnacentral:lncRNA from 1 species
AUAACAUUUAUGACAAUCGAUUUCUGUCGCGACAGAUUAAUAAUUUAAAAACUCAUUAAUAAUUAAAAUAAUUAACGUUAAUUGCUGUGCAGUAGACGUAAUUUUUUGUGGCAGUUCUACGGUUAAACGUAUGGUAGGUUUCUAAGCAUGAAUCUAUAUAAUACUAAACAGACUGGCUCUAACUUUAGUGAAGGAUAUAAAUUGUCAUAAUCGAAUACGGCCAUAAUGUAGUGCGGCUGCCAAGUAAUCAUUUUAAUUCUAGUCAAAGCGUCUUCAGUGAUGGUAGUGGAGUUUUCGUUGUGGCCUAGUAUUGAUAGACACCAACUGGCAAUAACCUUUUCAAGAUUAAAGGUAGGGGCAUUUCUCUUCUCGACUAUGGGUCAAGGCUUUACAGGUUGUUUAUGUGAUUUGAUGUACGCGAAAAGCCUGGGACAAACUGGCGCUUGGAUCUUUUUAUGUCUCCAUUCUUGGGGAAAUAAUUGGUGAGAAGUAAUUCUAUCAAGCUUGGCUUUAAGUUGGAAGGUCAGGUCUUUCAUUAGGACCUUAGGAUGUGUUACAGCUAUGUAAUCUAAGAGGUAAGCGUCAUAGAGCUCAUCUUUGAGCAAAACCAUCCUUUUUGAUUUAUCG